AAGCUUCGACUAAGGUUCGAUUCGAGCGCAGCGAGAAAGCGUUGCCGCAGGCAACGACCCGAAGGGUGAGGACCGGAGCGACGAAUAAUCCUUCCCCCACCAUCA
rnacentral:sRNA from 1 species